GGACUACCCGGGUUUCUAAUCCUGUUUGCUCCCCAUGCUUUCGUACCUCAGCGUCAGUAUUAGGCCAGAUGGCUGCCUUCGCCAUCGGUAUUCCUCCAGAUCUCUACGCAUUUCACCGCUACACCUGGAAUUCUACCAUCCUCUCCCAUACUCUAGCUUCCCAGUAUCGAAUGCAAUUCCCAAGUUAAGCUCGGGGAUUUCACAUCCGACUUAAAAAGCCGCCUACGCACGCUUUACGCCCAGUAAAUCCGAUUAACGCUCGCACCCUCUGUAUUACCGCGGCUGCUGGCAC
rnacentral:rRNA from 1 species